AACAAACGCUGGCGGCGUGCCUAACACAUGCAAGUCGUACGAGAAAGGGUCCUUCGGGGCCUGAGUAAAGUGGCGCACGGGUGAGUAACGCGUGGAUAAUCUACCCUUCAGUUGGGAAUAACUCAUCGAAAGGUGGGCUAAUACCGAAUAACACUGUAAGACCUUGGUCGAUCAGUCAAAGAGAGCCUCUGCUUGCAUGCCCUCGCUGAAGGAUGAGUCCGCGUACCAUUAGCUAGUUGGUAGGGUAAUGGCCUACCAAGGCGACGAUGGUUAGCUGGUCUGAGAGGAUGAUCAGCCACACUGGAACUGAGACACGGUCCAGACUCCUACGGGAGGCAGCAGUGAGGAAUCUUGCGCAAUGGGGGCAACCCUGACGCAGCAACGCCGCGUGAGUGAGGAAGGUCUUCGGAUCGUAAAGCUCUGUCGGAUGGAAAGAACCGCAUGGGGGUAAAUAGCCCUCAUGUCUGACGGUACCAUCAGAGGAAGCACCGGCUAACUCCGUGCCAGCAGCCGCGGUAA
rnacentral:rRNA from 1 species